rnacentral:rRNA from 1 species
GUAUGGGGGCAAGCGUUGUUCGGAUUUACUGGGCGUAAAGGGUGUCUAGGCGGCAAAUUAAGUCAGAUGUGAAAUUUAUCAGCUUAACUGGUAAAGUGCAUUUGAAACUGAUUUGCUAGAGUGUAGGAGGGGAAAGCGGAAUUCUUGGUGUAGCGGUGAAAUGCGUAGAUAUCAAGAAGAACACCUGUGGCGAAGGCGGCUUUCUGGCCUAUUACUGACGCUGACACACGAAAGCGUGGGGAGCAAACGGGAUUAGAUACCCCGGUAGUCCACGCCGUAAACGAUGUGCACUAGGUGCAAGAGGUAUCGAUCCCUUUUGUGCCAAAGCUAACGCAUUAAGUGCACCGCCUGGGGAGUACGGUCGCAAGAUUA